AUGACCUUUUCCGAUCACGAUGACCUCCUGUCGCUGCUGAAGGUAUUUUGUUUCUUCUCUUUUCAUCUGCAGACUGCAGAGUAUCUUGUUUGUUCAAUUCUGAUAAAAAAAACUAGAUGUUCUAGUCAAAGCAGUACUGCAGUCAUGCAGUACUUGUUGCAGUAUUACGUUUAUUUGUUUUUGGAUGAGAUACUUUCAAAGUUGAUUUAUAGUGACAAUGCGAGAGUUGUAGAUAAUUUUCUGUACUUCCAGUGUACUUUAUUAUUAAUUCUUAGUAUAAGAGUAUCUAAGGGGCACAAUUGGCUUGAAUUCAUAUAG
rnacentral:rRNA from 1 species